GCCUGGGUGGCUCAGUCGGUUAAGCGUCUGACUUCAGUUCAGGUCACGAUCUCGCGGUCCGUGAGUUCGAGCCCCGCGUCGGGCU
rfam:Felis catus isolate Cinnamon breed Abyssinian chromosome E2, whole genome shotgun sequence.